rnacentral:rRNA from 1 species
UACGUAGGGUCCGAGCGUUUGUCCGGAAUUAUUGGGCGUAAAGAGCUCGUAGGCGGCUUGUCACGUCGGGUGUGAAAGCCCGGGGCUCAACCCCGGGAGGCGGGUGGAUACUGCCAAGCUCGAGUCCGGAAGAGGAGUGUGGAAUUCCUGGUGUAGCGGUGAAAUGCGCAGAUAUCAGAGGAACACCAAUGGCGAAGGCAGCACUCUGGGACGUGACUGACGCUGAGACGCGAAAAGCGUGGGGAGCAAACAGG